CAUUUAAACAGAGUUAACAUAUUGCACAGAAAUUUCUGUGAUCGACAAUCCCACAUCCAGACCUUGUGCCUUUCAUGUCAGAAUAAUGUCAUGGAGUACAAAGGUUCUGAGUUCAGUUCCUAGGCAAAUGAAGAGAGGCUGCCUCCAUGCUCUUCAUCACAAAAAAUAUCCAGUAUCUAAAACUCUUGCUUUCCCAUGCUGUUACAAACACACCCAGGACUGAGUGGCUACAUUUUUACUGGCAACAGAAGAGUAAGUUCAGCGAAGAGCAAGCUCAAUGCUUGGAAUAAGCACUGGCUCGAGUGAACACAUACCCCAAGCUGAAUCCUCUGGGUGUCAGGAGCUGCUGGCCAAGGACCAGUGGGAGUAGGGAGAGGCUGCAGGCUCUGACCGCAGUGAGGAGUCUGGGAGGAAGAGAAGACAUCUUGAGCAUCUGGCUUUGCUACACCCGGAAAACUCUACCCAGAGUCCAGAGACCAUCCCCACAACUUUGCUUUAUCUGGAAAUCUCAUUGCUUAACCCAUCAUCCAAGGAAAACAGCCCAGGCAGUGGAAAAUUACAGUUUUCCAAUAAGAGAGACCAACCACAGCUCUGUCGCCUUCAUUUCAGAACAAGCAUACAUGUCACACGGGAAGAGAAAUGCCGGCAGGAUCUAGAAGUCGCCCAAUACCAUUGAAAAGAGAUGACAGAAGGGCAUCAAGACAAUUUCCAAG
rnacentral:lncRNA from 1 species